GGGGAAAGAUUUAUCGCCAAAGGAUUAGCCCGCGUUGGAUUAGAUAGUUGGUGGGGUAAUGGCCUACCAAGUCUACGAUCCAUAGCUGGUUUGAGAGGAUGAUCAGCAACACUGGGACUGAGACACGGCCCAGACUCCUACGGGAGGCAGCAGUGGGGAAUCUUAGACAAUGGGCGCAAGCCUGAUCUAGCCAUGCCGCGUGGACGAUGAAGGCCUUAGGGUUGUAAAGCCCUUUAGGUGGGGAGGAAGGCAUUCAUGCUAAUACCAUGGAUGAUUGACGUUACCCACAGAAUAAGCACCGGCUAACUCCGUG
rnacentral:rRNA from 1 species